UCUGCUCGGAGGCCAUGGAGCUUUCAGCCAACGAGCUCAGCAUCUAUGACAAGCUCUCUGAGACCAUUGAUUUGGUGAGACAGACUGGCCACCAGUGUGGCAUGUCAGAAAAAGCCAUUGAGAAGUUCAUCAAGCAGCUCUUGGAAAGAAACGAACCCCAGAGGAGCCCUCCACGGUACCCUGUCUUAGUGGCUCUCUACAAGGGACUGCUCACCCUGGGCUUGGUGUUGCUGACUGUUUACUUGGUGAUCCAGCCCUACAACCCGCUGCCACCUGAAGCACCUCUGUCCAGAGCCCAGGCCUGGGGCUCCCUCGUCGGGCACAUCCGGCUGCUGUCCCUGCCCAUUGCCAAGAAGUACAUGUUGGAGAAAUGCCAGGACUGGUGGGCAGCAGGUUGCAGACAGAACACUUCUGCACUUCCUGCAAACUGCACAGUCUGUUCUGCUGUGAAAAGCCUUCACAUAGUGACAGACUUCAGAGAGCUAUCAGAAAAGCUCCAGAGGCAUCAGCCUUUUCUAAUCAAGACAGGGCAGCAUCUCUCCUAUGAAGAACUGAAGCAUUUUCAGUCCCAGGAUCCAGAACUGGCAGAGGUUAUAAUAGAAGAAAAUUCAGCUGAAUUAUGGAGCUGCCCAUUUUUCUUUCCCUGGAACAAGUCUGUGAAUAGAUCCCAGAUUCUCCAGGAAUUUUUCCCUGCUUCCUCUUUGCUGUCCUUCCCCAAGACAGUGUCUCUGGAGAGCUGCUUCCUCAUCCGCCACCCAGAUUUGGGGAAUAAGAGCUACAGCCUGCACAGUCUCUUCGCUGUUGGGAGUGGGCAGCUCACCCUGACUGUUGCACCUCUGGACACGUGCAGAGGACACUGUGAGGUGUUCAAGGUGGAGCUGGAAGCUGGGGAUUUGGGUUAUGCCAGCACAGAUCACUGGACAAUGAGCUUCAUGGCCAGAGGGACAGAGCCAGCAGUGAUUUGUGAUGGAGCUGCCAGCUAAGGAUGCUGGGGUGGGAAAACAGAGCUGUUCCCAGGACAAGAAGACUUUCAGCUUUGAAACCAAGGCAACGUCUUGAGAGGAGCGAGCCGGGGCAACUGGGGCAGGCAGCUUUGCCACCCUGCAUGUUUACAGUGUUUAAAAAGGACUAUUUUCCUGACCCUUGAGGUAAUCCUUUGCCUUUCCUCAAAUGUAUUUUGGGAGAAGCUCAAGCUAUUUAUGACCCUCCCUGUCCCCUCAGGUAAGCCCUGGGUUUGCAGCAAAGGGUUUUUUUUCCAGGAGCAGCAGAUGGAUUUCUCAGGAUGAGAUUCACCUUAUGUUCUUUGUGGAUUAUGGCACUUCUGAAACUUCCUGGGGGGUUUGGGAGUGGAUGGGGUGUGUGACAUUUCUGUGUACAUUCCUCCUGAGGAGGAAGCUUUGAGCCUGUGUAGUCAGGCCAGUUCUAUAAAGGGAAUGGAUUGGUGAUGUGUCCCAGCUCUCACGUCCGCAGCUGUGUGAGCCCUGCAGAGCUGACCUUGGCUCCUGCUCCCUGGCUGGGGAGAGCCUUGAGCCUGAGGGCAGAAGCUCUCACCCACUGCAUCCUUCUUGUACCAAAAGAAUCCCUUCAGGCCUCUCUGUGUUGUGAUCACCCUUCUGCAGCUCCCUGUCAGCAGGUUUCGAGUGAGUCAAAUGGUAAUUGUGCUUUUCUUCACCUCCACUUCCUUUCCUGCAAAAACACUGACACACAUCUUAGAGGUGCUGGCAGUGCAGAAGUUCUGGAUGGAGCUGAGGCUGGGAGAGAGCAGCUCUGUCCAGCUUUCACCUCAGACACCAAGGGCUGCACAGCCGUUCUCAGCUGCUCCUUGUUUUUGGAGGCGCUGCCUGCGUUCCCAGCCCACGGUUCCUCUGGGAGCACCUGAAACCUCCCUCUUCCCUGGCAUAUUUUUGCAUUGACUCCUUCCAGACCUGGAACUCUGUCUUCAGAAUGAACGUUGGUUUUUCCUGGGUCCUUUCCAAGCUGCCUUUGCGUGUUUCCUGCUGCUGGAGCAGCGCUGUCUCCAGUGCCCUGAGAGAGGCUCGGGUUCGGUGUGUGCAGACUGCGGAUGCUCCGGUCCCUUCCAAGUCUGAUCCUUUGGGUCUGAUCCCACUGCUGAAGAUCAUUUACAGAUGUGUCAGGCUGAACUCAUAGGCCAGGGCUGGAGUUCAGGACAUACUCUCACACUUGUUAAUAUGGAGUUGGGAGGGGUUUUGGUUGACAGCGAGUUAACUCUGUUCUCAGGAGCAAGAGCCUUUUUCACUGUAAAUAUUUUAGGUACAUGUAAAAUGACAGAUUGGGAAAAUGUCUGUCCAGCCUUUGUUUUUGAGGAGAAUGGGAGCAAACAUUGUGCUAAUCUGAUUAGGAGUUGACAAAAGCUGCCAAGUGGGAUGACCACUUCUGGCUCCUGUACAAGAAUAAGGCAGAGGACAGUUCCUGCUCCAAAGAAUUUAGUCUGAGGCCUUGACACUAUAAACAUUUCUAUGCAUAAUCCUUAUUUUUCUCCUGUCAAAACAAUGAGAACAAGCCCAGCACCUGUGUCAGUCUGUGCAUGGCCCUUGGUGCUGAACACACACCAGAUCUAGUAGAACCAAAAGGGGAGAGUUUGGCUCUCUCAGGAUAGAAAAGGACUGAUAUAAUUUGCUACCAAGUAUUAAAGGGAAUUGGACUAAUGAACUUCCAUUAGUGUUCUCACUGCUUGGAGUGUAUUUCACACUCAUGACACUACAUUAAAUCUUGUACAUGCCAAGACACACACACACACCACCCCUCUCCCUCCUCUUAAAGCCUGGGUCUUAGUUAAUGGAAAUUUGGGAGUUCAGUGAUGGCAGAAUUAGGGCCUCAUUAGUGACUGUUGCUGUUUACACUUUGGCAGCUUCUCAAAUCAAAUUCAAAGGCUGACCAGGUUACUUCACCUCUUACUGCUUUUGUAUCUGACCUGUUUUUGUAAAGCAUUUGCUCAAAGAUGCUGCUGGAGCCAUUCUUGCUGAGAUCGCGGCGGUUCGGUGACACUGUCACCACUAAGUGUCCUUGACUGUAACUUGUAAAAGAGCUGCGGAGACAAUUCCCAAGUGUCUGUGAAAUGCCUGGAUUCUGAGAGUCAUACUUAAGCCAUUGUGGCUGUCUGGCUCUUUCGGGAAGAAGCAGAGAAAAUGGAUCUAUUUACAGUUGCUGUUUGGACUGGGGGGAGGAGGGGGAGGAAGGGGCAGGUUUGUGUCUGUUUAGCAGAAAUGUUCUCACGUAGUGCUUCUCCCUUCCUCCAAGAGUUGCAGCCUUCCUUGAAGAGUUGCAGCUGGUUGGACAGGAGCUGGUGAGUCUGGCCUGUUUGCAGAGCAGCCUUCCAAGUGCACUUUAUGGGCUCUGCAUAAGUUUCCAGCUCUGUCUCAGCGAUACAUUGCAUAUGUCCCAGCCUCGCUCCCUUCGGAGCUUACAUCAUUUGUUUUUAAGCUCUCCGGUAUAUUUUCUCUUCCUCUUCCAAAGGCUGUAAGGAAUUAGCUGCUAAACUAAAACAGGAGGGCAGUUCUCCUGCUGAUAGAGUCAAUUUUGGCCGAAGUGCAGAGCCCCAGUCUGCAGCACGGCUUCCAGAGCAGCUCCUGUUUCCAGCUGCCAGAGGAGUGGUGCUCACACCUUCCACAUCCCAGGGCAGGCAAGGAGCCACAGUGGGAAACCCAGAGGUGAGGCCACAAUGGCAGAAUUGGGAUGGCCAAAGGGUGGUUUUGAUACCUUUAUUGCAAUUAAGCCCUGGUCGUCUUCCACAUCCAGAGCUCCAGCUUUACAAAGUCCCUGGAAAGGAGCAGGACUUCCCUAGGGAGGCUGGUGGUCCUAGUGGCCUGCUGAGGUGGAACAGGGCUGUUCCUGCAGCUACUGAGGUUUCACAGCCAUGAUCACAUGAGUCACAGAGGGGGUGUCCCACCAUGGUCUCACUCACCUCAGCUCUUCUUUUGCACUCUCUGUGCUGGUUUGGACAAUCUCCCCCUCUGCCCAGCUCACACAAGUUCCCAGUUAAUACAUUUUGAAAUCCCUUUGUGUGCUUUAGAGCCCAUUGCCUGUGAGCUGGGAGAUGGAAUCCUCCUCACCCCACAUCCCAAAGGCUGCAAAGCUGCUCUGAAAUCACACCAGAAAUUGGUACUACCCACGAGCCCAGUGGGCAGAGGUGAGGAGGGGUCACCUCUGCACUUGCCAGGCUGGAAGGACAGGCUGUCCCUGUCAGCUGGGCAGGAGGAUCGUGGUUUAAAGCUGCUCCCCAAAGCAGGGGUCACUGACCAGUGCUGUCAGUCAGUCCUGAACUCAGGGUAACUGAAAGGAGGAGAAAGGAUUAUUAUGAUUUACUUCAGUACCAGGAAAUCAGCGGCCCCCACGGGAGCCAACCUGGCAGUUUCUAUUGAUUCUUUUUUUUGCUUUCUUUGUUCCUUUUCAUUUUUUUCCCUGCCCACUGUUUUUGCACACAUUGAUUCCCCUGAGGGAUCUCUCUGCAAGGCCCUGGAGAGCUUUGAGUCAGAUUUCCCGUGAGUCUCCAGAGUGCAGCUUCUCCCACCAGGCCUGUUUUUGCAGUGUUCUGGAGGAGAAGCUGGUUUGUCUGGGCUGGAUCACCUCUCUUCCCUCCUGGGCUCCAGCAGCAGCAGGAGGAGGUGGGGAGCAGGAAAGCAUCUCAUGGUAGAGAUGAGAGCUCUCUAAACACCAGUGUCUCAGAAAAGGGGAUCCUUCUGCCUUGAAACCCUCUUGUUCCCUCUCUCCAGGAGGGGACUUUCCCCACACCCCAAUCCCAGGUCCUCGUUCAGCCUCGUGGCCCCCAAGAGAAUUGAACAUUUCCUGGGGUGAGGCCAUUUUGAUGGGUGCACAAAGAGCUUCUGCUUCCUGCAAACCAAACUUUCUCCUCUUGGUGGAUUUUAUAGGUAGAACUCGAAAUCCUCCUCUUCAGGAACCUCCUCCUUGUAAAGGGCAGAUUUAGUGUCCUACUGAGUUAGACAAGGGAGAUGCUGGACUUCCCUUUGCUUUGGAGAUUCAAAAAAAUGGCAGCAACAAUCUCCAUAUUUCCUUCACAUUUGAGUUGAUUUUAGCCAAACGUUGAGGCGUGGAAGAUGAUAAACUCCUCCAGAGCUCAUAAAUCCAGGCGAGUAGGGAGAAAAGAGAGAGAGAUCCUGUUACUCCCACAGCAGUGCAGGAGCCUCGUUAGACACCGGCCAGCGCCGCUGGAGACCCUCGAGACCAGUUGGGUGUUCCUGGCUCUUGGGAGGUGCUUUAAAUCUGACUGCCAGAGCCGUGGGCUGCUGAGAGCAGAAGCUGCCUGCACGAUGCUGAGCUCAGGUCUUCCUCCCGUCCUCCUGGUGCUCUCAGUGCUGGAGCUGAGCUGGUGCCUGAGUGAUGAAGAAAAGAAGAUCAUCUUGGAUGAGCAUAAUAAAUAUCGCUCCCAGGUCUCUCCUCCUGCCAAGGCUAUGAUGAAGAUGACCUGGGGCACAGACCUGGAGGCUGAUGCUCAAAAGCAUGCAGAGAAGUGCAAGUGGUCCCAGAACAGGGGCCCAGGCAGGUUAAACCUCUUUGCUACACCUUCAGCCCUGGAUGUAAAAUUGGCCAUUGAAGAAUGGAACGCAGAGAGGAAAUUCUACGACUUGACAACAUCCACAUGUGUUUCCACGCAGACGUGUGAGAACUACGUCCAGGAGUAAUGUAAAGAAAAAAAAGCCCUACCGGGAUGGACCCUCGUGUGAAAUGUGCCCCAUGGACACAGUCUGUGUGAACAACCUGUGUGAAGAACAGGAGACAAACUCAGACCAGACAAGUGUGGAUCUGCCCAAAGGAGGAGCCCCCAGUACCUGCUUGGGCCUUUCGCUCUUCCUCCUCCCCAGUGCCAUCCUGGUGGGCCUUCUGCUCUGAAGGGUCUUCCUCAGCUGUCCCUGCACCCCUCAGCAAGGCUUUUGUCAGUGCUGGUUGUUCCACAGCCCUGGUAGGCUCAGGAGGCUCCUUGGACAAUUCACACGCUCCCUCCUUACGCUGCCUUCUCUGCUGCUGCCCCGGCGAGCCAAGGCUGAUGCUGGGGGAACUUUGUCCCCUUCCUGAGGAGACCUGAGGACAGGAGGGUGUUUGCCAUAAAGCUGGUGACCUUGGAUGCUUCUCCUUUUUCCUGGCUUUUGUUCUAUUUCCAGGGUGGAAGUGUUGAGCUCUCCCACCCAUCUGCCCAUGUGGCUGGCAGGCCCUGCCACCGCCUGACCCCGGGGACAGCAGGGUGACUUGGGGACAAUGAGACAUGGUGGUUGGCUUUGGUGUUUGCAGAUGAGGCACAGUGGUUGGCUUUGGUGUUUGUCAGGAGGAGUUUCCUGCAGAAAUGCUCUUUUCCCUCCCAGUGUAUUUCUUUCAGUUUUGGACAUACUUUAUCUCUUUCCUAUCUUGUCCAAGUAGAGUGUCUAUUUGGGAUUUCUGUUUCCUCCUGGUUCUGGUGGAGCUCUGGCCGGUACUGCCCAGCUGUUCACCCCUCUCCUCACACUCUGCAGCCCAUGCCUCUUCCCUCUCUCCUCCUCCCUCUCUCACUCUCUGGCACAUGUCCCAUCCUUCAGUCAUUCCAAUGCCACAGAUUUAUUUCACGCGUGUGCCUGCACAGAAGAGAAACCUUCAGAGCUGAGAGAGGCCACCAGCUCCUUCAUGUAGCUUUUCCCUGCAUGGCUUCAUUCUUUGCAUC